rnacentral:rRNA from 1 species
AAACAUCGCCUCCUGCAGUAUAUAGGAGGUCCAGCCUGCCCAGUGACCAAGUUAAACGGCCGCGGUACCCUAACCGUGCGAAGGUAGCGCAAUCACUUGUUCUUUAAAUGAGGACUAGUAUGAAUGGCAUCACGAGGGUUACACUGUCUCCCACCUCUAAUCAGUGAAACUGAUCUCCCCGUGAAGAAGCGGGGAUAAAACUAUAAGACGAGAAGACCCCAUGGAGCUUCAAACCCGGCAUCAACCAUUAACAUUAAUACCACAUUAAAUAAAUGGACCUGACUGCUGGUUUUAGGUUGGGGUGACCGCGGAGCAUAACAAAACCUCCAUGAUGAACGACCUCCUCUCUAAUCCGAGAGCCACCACUCAAAGAAUCAAAAAAUUGACAUUUAUUGACCCAAACUAUUUUGAUCAACGAACCAAGUUACCCUGGGGAUAACAGCGCAAUCCAUUUCAAGAGCCCCUAUCGACAAAUGGGUUUACGACCUCGAUGUUGGAUCAGGGUAUCCUAGUGGUGCAGCCGCUACUAAAGGUUCGUUUGUUCAACGAUUAAAAGCCUACGUGAUCUGA